AAUCUUAAAAGAAAAAGAAAAAUAGAAAUAAAAGAAAAAAAGUAUUUAAAUAAAAUAUAAUUCAUGCAUGAAAGCCAUGCAUUUACGUUGGCAAUUCUCCCUUUUAAAGCAUAAUAAGCCCAUUCCCUUUCAACAUAACAAGCCCAACACUUCUCUUUUUAAGCUUAAGUAUAAGAAACAGAAACCAUCAGAUGCGUUUCUUUUCUUUCAUCCGUUUUCUUCUUUUGAAUUUAAAAACCCUACUCAUUCGUUUUAUUCUGGAACCCUAGCCGUCUCCCUAUCUCAAAAAUAUUCAGAAACAUUACGGUAAUCAUUCCUUUUCCUUUCUAUUCAAGAUUCGCUUCACUCUAAAUUUUCUUUGACGGUUCAUAUCGACUCCGCGAUCUCUUCGAUCCUUACGUGUAUGGAAUCAAUAAAGACUCUUCGACUACUCGCGCUCAGGAGUCGAACCAGGGUUAGCUGUUUGCCAAGAGUCACGUGGAUAAGCAAGCAGUUUAUGAUUUGAAAGCUGGUCCACUCCGAUUCUUUUGAUUCCUCGGAGGUUUUAUUGUUAUUAAACUAGAUUCUGUUUUCGAACUCUUAGACCGCAGUAGAACUAGCUUAUGUAUUACAUUUGUUAUUGCACUUUGCAAUUGUCGAUUUAAUCGAUUAAUUAUUGUUGGCAUGUUUACACUGGAAUAUUUUAUUAUUAUAUUUAAGGCAUGCGGUGGAAUAUUUCAGAUACUUAAGUUAUUUAUAUUAGAACUGUAUUAUAAAUUGCUAGACUUAGGUUGGAGUCUCGGUUGCCCCCGAGCAGUUUUCUGCAGGUUUAAAUGU